rnacentral:lncRNA from 1 species
CCACAGGCAGAGCAAACCUGGCCUUGGCCCUGAUGCAGCUGAGAUCACCAGUUAAUUGCCUCAUUUUCUGGGCUUUUCAGAAGCCCAUCCUUCAUCCUGCCUCCUCCAACAGUCUGCAACCUCUACAGCAAGGAGAGAAUUUCCACCUCCCAAAAGAUGGGAUGGAGCACCAAGGGGAUCCAGAUCAGUUCUACAACAGCCAGGACAGAUGCCCAUUCCAAAGCAAUUACUGCAUGGGAGAUGCAAAGUGGCUGGAAGAACCUGCUCAUUCUGGGUCUGUAAUGGAGCCUGUGAGGAGCUCAGCUUGCUGGGGUGCCAGCAGGCUUGAAUCCACAGCAUUGACUUGUCUGCAGGGACAUGAGGGGGCUGGAAACAUCCAGGAAGGACACGUAAAACAAAAGCUUUGAGCUCAAAUAAUCACAGCAAAUCUGUGAUUAAUCCUUGGUUUGAAAGCUGGAGCUCUCCCCAAACUCAUGGGCUGACUGGACAAUCCAUCAGAUCCAUUUCACUUGGAAAGGAAGCAGUCAGGAUUUGAUCAACAUCUCAAACCAAAUCAGUGAGCUUGAUUAAAAGUGAACUCUGGGAGCAUUUUCUCAUCAUGGGUUCUCUUCAAAAGAGAUUGCUCUGAGCUCCUCAGCCAGGAGAAAGUGCUACAAGUCAUUUAUCCCUCCUCAUCCUCACGGCCUCCACAGGCACAGAUUUGAAGGGCAUUUCAAGGAGAUGGCACAAAGUAACCCCAGAGUGUGUGAUUGACUCAGGUUGGUGAAAGGGGAGUAAAGGGAGUACAGUUACUGGGUAGGAAACAGGGUCCAUGAAGCAUGCAGGGAUUUCAGACAUGGGAUUUUUUGGAACAUUUAUUGGAACAGACAGGCUAAGAGCGCUGAGGGAUAAAGGAUCCCGAAUCAAACAGGCUAAUUGGUCUCAAAUGGAGUGACUAAGGAACUCUCUCCCUUCCAAAAUGGGUCAAAUUGCAUUUUAGAAGGAGAUCUCUGAAAUUUGAGUGGGAGGCCUGGAUAGAAAAACGAAUGGAUGAACUCAUAAUUGACAUGGAUUCCAUUAUGGCUAAUACCUGUGUCAGGGCUGCCACCGAAUACCGCCUGCAAAUCCAGACUGGGGGAAUUCCCUCCGGAGAUGUGACCCAGGUGAAGCAGACUAUUUGCCAUGAGCCUGUGAGGAACUGAGACUUUAAUUGCAAACAUAUGGCUGGGUAACUUUCCAGCAAGUGAAAACUGGGGGAUAGAGAGAGACCUGCUCUGAAACAGAUGAUCCAGGAAGGCUUUCACUGUCUCCAGUGAUGGGAUUCUGUGCUCUCAUAUCACUUUGUGCUGAACAGAAAACUGAAAAGAAAGGAAAAUUAUGCUAAAAUAUAACUUUGGCACGAAGAGCCCUGUGAUUUUAGGAAGAAUAAAGGUGAAAUUAAGUUUCA